AGAGUUUGAUCAUGGCUCAGAUUGAACGCUGGCGGCAGGCUUAACACAUGCAAGUCGAGCGGAUGAAAGUAGCUUGCUACUGGAUUCAGCGGCGGACGGGUGAGUAAUGCUUAGGAAUCUGCCUAUUAGUGGGGGACAACGUUCCGAAAGGAGCGCUAAUACCGCAUACGUCCUACGGGAGAAAGCAGGGGACCUUCGGGCCUUGCGCUAAUAGAUGAGCCUAAGUCGGAUUAGCUAGUUGGUAGGGUAAAGGCCUACCAAGGCGACGAUCUGUAGCGGGUCUGAGAGGAUGAUCCGCCACACUGGGACUGAGACACGGCCCAGACUCCUACGGGAGGCAGCAGUGGGGAAUAUUGGACAAUGGGGGGAACCCUGAUCCAGCCAUGCCGCGUGUGUGAAGAAGGCCUUUUGGUUGUAAAGCACUUUAAGCGAGGAGGAGGCUACCUAGAUUAAUACUUUAGGAUAGUGGACGUUACUCGCAGAAUAAGCACCGGCUAACUCUGUGCCAGCCGCCGCGGUAAUUC
rnacentral:rRNA from 1 species